rnacentral:tRNA from 1 species
GAGAGAUGGCCGAGCGGUUGAUGGCGCUGGUCUUGAAAACCAGUGAUGCUGAAAGGCACCGGGGGUUCGAAUCCCUCUCUCUCC